rnacentral:rRNA from 2 species
AAAGGUGCUUGCAUCUUGAUUUAAUUUUGAACGAGUGGCGGACGGGUGAGUAACACGUGGGUAACCUGCCCUUAAGUGGGGGAUAACAUUUGGAAACAGAUGCUAAUACCGCAUAAAUCCAAGAACCGCAUGGUUCUUGGCUGAAAGAUGGCGUAAGCUAUCGCUUUUGGAUGGACCCGCGGCGUAUUAGCUAGUUGGUGAGGUAACGGCUCACCAAGGCAAUGAUACGUAGCCGAACUGAGAGGUUGAUCGGCCACAUUGGGACUGAGACACGGCCCAAACUCCUACGGGAGGCAGCAGUAGGGAAUCUUCCACAAUGGACGCAAGUCUGAUGGAGCAACGCCGCGUGAGUGAAGAAGGCUUUCGGGUCGUAAAACUCUGUUGUUGGAGAAGAAUGGUCGGCAGAGUAACUGUUGUCGGCGUGACGGUAUCCAACCAGAAAGCCACGGCUAACUACGUGCCAGCAGCCGCGGUAAUACGUAGGUGGCAAGCGUUAUCCGGAUUUAUUGGGCGUAAAGCGAGCGCAGGCGGUUUUUUAAGUCUGAUGUGAAAGCCCUCGGCUUAACCGAGGAAGUGCAUCGGAAACUGGGAAACUUGAGUGCAGAAGAGGACAGUGGAACUCCAUGUGUAGCGGUGAAAUGCGUAGAUAUAUGGAAGAACACCAGUGGCGAAGGCGGCUGUCUGGUCUGUAACUGACGCUGAGGCUCGAAAGCAUGGGUAGCGAACAGGAUUAGAUACCCUGGUAGUCCAUGCCGUAAACGAUGAAUGCUAGGUGUUGGAGGGUUUCCGCCCUUCAGUGCCGCAGCUAACGCAUUAAGCAUUCCGCCUGGGGAGUACGACCGCAAGGUUGAAACUCAAAGGAAUUGACGGGGGCCCGCACAAGCGGUGGAGCAUGUGGUUUAAUUCGAAGCAACGCGAAGAACCUUACCAGGUCUUGACAUCUUUUGAUCACCUGAGAGAUCAGGUUUCCCCUUCGGGGGCAAAAUGACAGGUGGUGCAUGGUUGUCGUCAGCUCGUGUCGUGAGAUGUUGGGUUAAGUCCCGCAACGAGCGCAACCCUUAUGACUAGUUGCCAGCAUUUAGUUGGGCACUCUAGUAAGACUGCCGGUGACAAACCGGAGGAAGGUGGGGAUGACGUCAAAUCAUCAUGCCCCUUAUGACCUGGGCUACACACGUGCUACAAUGGAUGGUACAACGAGUUGCGAGACCGCGAGGUCAAGCUAAUCUCUUAAAGCCAUUCUCAGUUCGGACUGUAGGCUGCAACUCGCCUACACGAAGUCGGAAUCGCUAGUAUUCGCGGAUCAGCACGCCGCGGUGAAUACGUUCCCGGGCCUUGUACACACCGCCCGUCACACCAUGAGAGUUUGUAACACCCGAAGCCG